ensembl:lncRNA
AAUCCUAAUUAUUUUUUGAGUCAUACAAAACAGCAUUAAAAUAGAUAAUAAAUUUAAAAGGAUCUACUGGAGUUUUUUUGAUUAAUAAACACUAAGCACAAGAGGCUUGCUUUUAAUGAUUCUUUGAACAGUUACAACAUGUUAGUGCAACUUACCAAAUGUAGAGAAUGCAAGCCAACCGCUGAAUACUGGACUCUCAUUCAAACGCUGGAGCGGAGGGAGUUGCCAUGGAAACGGGGCAACAACACCAACUGCAAACCGUAAAUCUCCAUUUCUCGCUGCUGUUUUCACUGCUUUCAGAAAACUUCGAAAGAGUCCGUUAUCAUCGCAAGUGUUUUUUUUUUUUUAGGUGAGGAAUGAGAAUAUAAUCUCUCUACAACAGAAGAGAAGCUCCAAAAUGUCAAAGUAUCUGAAGGGAGCUGCUGACAGAAAUGUAGGAAACACAGAUUCUUCUAUAAUGAUGGCCGUUCAGCAGAGUUGGAGCAGACCUCCUGUCGGACAACAUCUCUUAGACACUAUGAACCAUGUUACUAGAUCCUAUGUACCCACCCUCAACCAUUCAUCAAAAGGACUGUAAAGGUGGGAAUUCUCUGAACAACCAGGGGCAGUUUCCACGGGAUGAAAAAGGGCAUACUAGUGGAUGAUGGGAGUAUUGACAUUAACCUGUUGUAUUCACUGUAUUACACAUUUUUGUCAGUUUUCCAUUUCAAGUACUGGUGGUUUUGAUUUUGUCUGGAUGGCAUGCUUUCCUAACACUAAUGGGUACGACUUGGCUGGGCACGGCUCAGUACGGUACGGCUCGGAUCCACAAUAGACAACAAAACUUUUUGAUUGUUAAAAAAGGUGCUCGUUCAAAACAGUUGCGUUCGAUCCUUUGCUGCUGUGGUGAUUUAAAUCUAGCGGUUCUUUUGUGUUUGUGUCACAAGUUCAGUGACGCAGGAAGUGACAAUUCUCUCUGGCCAAUCCGUGAUCAGCAGAGUUUACACAUCACAUUUUGGUAUAACGGUACGGUUCACUUGGAACCUCAACCGAGGUGGUACUAAAAAAAGUACCAGGUACCAGGUACCCAGUGGAAAACCCCCCAAAAGUGAACCGUACUGAGCCGUUCUGUGCCGUACCAGGCAGUGGAAAAGCGCCAUAAUAAGUCAAAGCUCAGGUACCACAUAAAAUGCGGCCAUGAGCAAACAGAAAAAGAGAAAUAUAUAAAGUGAGGUUAUCAUCAAGUACUCAGACUUAACAGCGAUGAUUGAUCAUGAAACUAAUGAUUACAGUGACUUUAAAAAUUUUUUUAAUUAUUGCUGUCAUGUCUGAGUACUUCCAGUACUUGUGCACAUCCCUAUUAAACACAUAUACACGGUAUUGAGGUAUGAUGUAAUACUGCAUUGAUGUAUACUGUAAAUGCAAUAAACAUUUUAAUCAUA